rnacentral:lncRNA from 1 species
CUGGCGCUGCCGGAGCCGGGCCGGACCGGGGUCCGAGAUCUGCGUCGCGCUGGGCACGCUGGCCACCCGGUCCGGAAUGAGUCGGGGCUCCGGGAGGUGCCCGUGGGCAGAGCGUUAGGGGCGCGGCCGUGCCGGACCCGCCCUGGGGACCCGCUGGAGCUGGAGGAGGAACUAACUGUAAGUGUGUCUCGAACUUGCGCGGGGGCUUCAGCCCGCCCGGGGCUGCGGAGCUGGCCGGUAAAGGCUCUCGGGAGAGGGGCGCGGUGUCUCCACGGUGACUUUCCGUGAAGGAGGAUGGGGUGUCUCCGCAGCUUUGGGGCCCCAGGAAAGAACAGAGCCAGCUUCCGUUCCUCAGCCUUUCUUCUCUAAACACCAAGUUCCACCAUUGACAGAACACUGAGUCCUGCACAGUCACAUGGACACGAGUAAGGAGAGUUCAGAGGCUGCAGUGGAGUUCCACACGAAGCACAGGAGGUGAAACCCCUUUUUCCUGGCUCCUCAGGAGACAUGUGAAGACAACGCGAUUAGAGGUCCUUCAGGCACGGAUAGGAUGGCUUGGCAUCUUCUUCCGAGCAAGCGCAGCUCUCAGGCCGGGCCUGAGCCUGCAGCCUGUGUGCCCUCCAUCAUCAGGGCCCCCUCUCAGGACAGGCUACACCGAGGGUGGGACGGCGGACUUCCAGGGACACUUCCAAGUCGUGCCCAUGCAGAUACCUCAGUAUACACUGCCCACAGUUAAGAAACCACGACCUGAGACAUUGUUUUGAAGAGGUGAAAAUGCCUCCACUCAAGUGGCCCAGGAGCGUGAUCCAGGAAGACGAACACACAGAACCAUCUUCUGCAUGGUUUGAAAAUUCAGUGGAAACUAGGACUCCAAGCUGCUGUCCCCUCUCUGCCGCAUCUGAGGCUGGGAAAACUUCCUAGGAGAAGGCAAGAGAAAGCCACCAGACCAGAGCCGAGGACUAAACUUUAAGGUCGAAGACGGCAGAGGGGCAGGUUCUCCCCUGCACACCCCAAGGCCUCUCCUGCACCCGCGAGGCCUUCCUUGAGCGCCCAGGCCCCCGAAAUGCCUGCCCUCCUUCUGACAAAAGGAGGGGGUAGGAUGUGAAGGGGUAGUGCAACCAACAAUGUUUUUGUAAACACAACAACAGGGAAAUACAUGGAGGAAAUCU